AUUUCACAGAAGCAGAAUUCACUGCGCGAAUGUCAGAUAAAUAAGAGGAAGAGGGAUGGGGGGAGGGGGACGCCCAGGGAAAUUAUCUCCUUGGCAUGAAAAUAGCCCCACAUGCCGCACACUGAGGUCCCGGGAGCAUCCCAGGCUCUGGGAACGCACCUGGAAGCUGCACCUGGAUUUCGGAGGCAGCGGCCGGGCUGGAGCCCAGGCCGGGGUCCCGGACUCACCUCCCCGGGGCCUCGGGGAUCGCCCGCUCCUCCCGCGCUACGCUCCUUCCUUCUUCCCCGUGUCAAGUCGCCGAGGAGGAGAAACAUGCAGUUUUCAAAGGUUCCAUUUAUCUGAUCUUCCGGCAAAACCGCGUCCAAGAGACUCCGCCAAAAAAGCUCCAAGGAGACCAAGGCAGAACUGUAAGGCGCUGCGGGCCUGGCUGCUCAGCGGACGUGCAAAACCAUUUCAAGAAUCCAGCUCUGGCCCCUGAACCUCAGGGGGAGCUGGCAACAAGUAUCCGAAUUUGACUGAUGGGACUAGGGACACCUGGGCUCCGGGGAAUACGGAAGGGUUGGUUCCUGCGUGCUGCUUUGCAGCCUCCACCAAUGUGCGCAGGGACCUGGGUUCGGCUUGUCCAUUUUUAAUAUGGAUUUAGACUCUAUCCUGCAAAUAAACAGUUUUACUCUCAUGCA
rnacentral:lncRNA from 12 species